GGGGCUGACUGGCUUUGACAGCGGGAUGGGCCUCUGUGUAAGCAUGCAGUGAGAUGUCACCUAUCACUAUAAUCCAUGAUGGCAAAAUAUAAUUGGCGAGAAUAACUACGCUCUUGCUGCUUAAUCGAAGUAUAGUAGAUUGAAGCUUAAUCGGCUGACAAGGUCGGCUGACAAGACAUCACCCCAAGGUCCUUGUUCCGAGACUGAGGAACCGGUGGUGCAGGUAAAUCGGGACUAGUCAGGGUCUGCCUCGCGGCUCUGGCGAAAUCUUUAGAGGCUAAGGUGUCGCUUGGUGGUCCAGGUCUUGGCGACACCCGACAAUCCAGGCUGGAAUAAGCAUGUAGAAAGCGCCGAUACCCCCUGUUUGGACGAGGGUUCGAACCCCUCCAGCUCCACU
rnacentral:tmRNA from 1 species